GACAGAGGGUGCAAACGUUGCUCGGAAUCACUGGGCGUAAAGGGCGCGUAGGCGGGGAUGUAAGUCGGGCGUGAAAUCCCCAGGCUCAACCUGGGGAACUGCACUCGAAACUGCGUUUCUUGAGUAUCGGAGAGGAAAGCGGAAUUCCUGGUGUAGAGGUGAAAUUCGUAGAUAUCAGGAGGAACAACCAGUGGCGGAAGGCGGCUUUCUGGACGGUAACUG
rnacentral:rRNA from 1 species